AUUGACCGCUGGCGGCAGGCCUAACACAUGCAAGUCGAACGAGUGGCGGACGGGUGAGUCAUGCCUGGGCAACUGCCUGAUGGAGGGGGAUAACUACUGGCAACGGUAGCUAAUACCGCCUACCAUCGGAUGUGCCCUGAUGGGCUUAGCGAGUAGGUGGGGUAACGGCUCACCUAGGCGACGAUCCCUAGCGGGUCUGAGAGGAUGAACGACGACACUAGGACGAAGACAGGGUCCAGAGUCCUACGGGAGACAGCAGUUGGGAAAAUGGCACAACGGACGCAAGCCUGAUACAGGCAAGCCGCGUGUAGGAAGAGAGCCUUCGGGUUGUAAAGUACGUGCAGCGGGGAGGCGGUACCCGCAGAAGAAACACCGGAUAACUCCGUGCCAGCAGCCGCGGUAAUAC
rnacentral:rRNA from 1 species